GCCGGGUUAGCUCAGUUGGUUAGAGUAUGGUGCUAAUAACACCAAGUUCACAGGUUCAAUCCCUGCUCACUGCA
rnacentral:tRNA from 1 species